rnacentral:rRNA from 1 species
GCGACACACGGGCGAGCAGCCGUGGGAAUACGGGUGGUGCAAGCGGUAGCCGGAUGGACGGGGUGGAAAGGGGGCGCAGGCGGUACGGCGAGGCUGAGGUGAAAGCCCGGGGCGCAACCCCGGUACGGCAUUGGAAACUGGCGGACGAGAGUGUCGGAGGGGUAAGUGGAAUUCCUAGUGUAGCGGUGAAAUGCGUAGAUAUUAGGAGGAACACCAGUGGCGAAGGCGGCUUACUGGACGAUUACUGACGCUGAGGCUCGAAAGCGUGGGGAGCAAACAGGAUUAGAUACCCGAGUAGUC